rnacentral:rRNA from 1 species
UACGAAGGGGGCUAGCGUUGCCCGGAAUCACUGGGCGUAAAGCGCACGUAGGCGGCUUUUUAAGUCAGGGGUGAAAUCCUGGAGCUCAACUCCAGAACUGCCUUUGAUACUGGGAAGCUUGAGUCCGGAAGAGGUGAGUGGAACUCCGAGUGUAGAGGUGAAAUUCGUAGAUAUUCGGAAGAACACCAGUGGCGAAGGCGGCUCACUGGUCCGGUACUGACGCUGAGGUGCGAAAGCGUGGGGAGCAAACAGG